ACAUGAAUUGAAGGAAAAGGAAAAGAAAAGAAGGGUAAGACUACGAAACCAAAACAAAAGGAACACUAUAAAUAGAUGCAGCUGAUGCUGGGAUUUUCUACUAUUCGCCUGACUGGAGCAGAUAACUAUAGCUAGUAGUCUAGUGCAUUUUUCUGGGAUUCUCAAGCCUGCCACGAAGAAGAAGAAGAAGAAGAAUAAAACAAGUCAACAUGGGCAUCCAUGGAAGCCUCAGCUCAGACCAGCUUAACUUCUUCAAUACCCAAGGAUACUUGGUGAUGGAAUCAUUUUCAAGCCUAGAGGAGAUAGAAUCCAUGAGGAAAAGAAUGGAUGAUUUGCUUGAUGAAUUUGACCCUUCUACAACUUCCACUAUUUUUUCCACCAAAACCCACCAACAUGCUACAAAUGACUACUUCUUUGAAAGUGCUGAGAAGAUUUCAUUCUUCUUUGAAGAGAAAGCAUUUGAUGAGGAUGGUAACUUGAAGCAACCGAAGAAACUCUCAAUCAACAAAGUUGGACAUGCCUUAGAUGAGCUUGAUCCUGUAUUUAAGAAGUUCUCUAGGUCAGAUAAGCUGUCUGGGUUGUUGCUUUCAUUGGGUUAUAAAAAACCAGUUAUUAUCCAAUCCAUGUACAUCUUUAAGCAACCAGGUAUUGGAGGUGAAGUAGUGCCGCACCAGGAUAACUCCUUCCUCUAUACUGAACCAUCAACUUGCACAGGGCUGUGGCUUGCUUUAGAAGAUGCAACACUCGUAAAUGGUUGCCUUUGGGCCAUUCCUGGAUCCCAUAAAAAUGGCCUUGUGAGGAGAUUCAUUAGAGAUGAGAAUGGUGUACAUUUUGAUAAGCCAUCUCCAUCCUAUGACCAAAAAGAUUUUGUUCCUGUUGAAGUGAAAGCAGGGUCUUUGGUAGUCAUUCAUGGAGAUCUCAUCCACCAAAGUUUUGAGAAUCGGUCAUCACAAUCAAGACAUGCUUACAGUUUACAUGUGGUGGAUACUGAUGGUUGCAGAUGGGCACAAGAUAAUUGGAUAAGGAGAAAAGUAGAUCCAGAGCCCAUUUAUGGAUGAUGGAUUUUGGCCUGACUGAACAUAUUUGCAGUUUGCGUAAUAACCUGAAGCCGGCCUGCGUAUUAUUAGUUGUAACCUCGUUUUGUGCUCCCAUGGAUGACUCUCUGCAAUUGCACCAUAUAAUUAUUGACCCAGAUGGAAUAAUCUGAAUUUGAGUGGAUGGAGUUAAUUGUCCGAAACUACCUUCUGUGAGUAAAGAAAUUUGUUGUAUUUUUGCAGAUUUGUCUCGAAUCUGGGUGGAAAAGGAGCAUCACAUAAUAGUAAAUAGUACACUUGCGGCAGAUAUGGAUUAUUGUACGAUGCAUUAUUAUCACAAAACAAAAUAUUUAACUUAGGGUGCUGUUGAUAAAACCGUUAAAUUA